rnacentral:rRNA from 1 species
GAUGAACGCUGGCGGCGUGCCUAACACAUGCAAGUCGAACGAAGCACCUUGAUUUCCUCGGAUUGAUAGGUGACUGAGUGGCGGACGGGUGAGUAACGCGUGGGUAACCUGCCUCAUACAGGAGGAUAACAGUUAGAAAUGGCUGCUAAUACCGCAUAAGCGCACAGUACCGCAUGGUACCGUGUGAAAAACUCCGGUGGUAUGAGAUGGACCCGCGUCUGAUUAGCUAGUGGUAAGGUAACGGCUUACCAAGGCGACGAUCAGUAGCCGGCCUGAGAGGGUGAUCGGCCACAUUGGGACUGAGACACGGCCCAAACUCCUACGGGAGCAGCAGUGGGGAAUAUUGCACAAUGGGGGAAACCCUGAUGCAGCAACGCCGCGUUGAAGGA